rnacentral:rRNA from 1 species
UGGGGAAUUUUGACAAUGGGGGAACCCUGAUCCAGCCAUCCCGCGUGUGCGAUGAAGGCCUUCGGGUUGUAAAGCACUUUUGGCAGGAAAGAAACGUCGCGGGUUAAUACCCCGCGAAACUGACGGUACCUGCAGAAUAAGCACCGGCUAACUACGUGCCAGCAGCCGCGGUAAUACGUAGGGUGCAAGCGUUAAUCGGAAUUACUGGGCGUAAAGCGUGCGCAGGCGGUUCGGAAAGAAAGAUGUGAAAUCCCAGAGCUUAACUUUGGAACUGCAUUUUAACUACCGGGCUAGAGUGUGUCAGAGGGAGGUGGAAUUCCGCGUGUAGCAGUGAAAUGCGUAGAUAUGCGGAGGAACACCGAUGGCGAAGGCAGCCUCCUGGGAUAACACUGACGCUCAUGCACGAAAGCGUGGGGGAGCAAACAGGAUUAGAUACCCUGGUAGUCCACGCCCUAAACGAUGUC